ACUUGUACCGACUGGAUGAGCAGCGAACGGGUGAGUAACGCGUGGGGAAUCUGCCUUUGAGCGGGGGACAACAUUUGGAAACGAAUGCUAAUACCGCAUAAAAACUUUAAACACAAGUUUUAAGUUUGAAAGAUGCAAUUGCAUCACUCAAAGAUGAUCCCGCGUUGUAUUAGCUAGUUGGUGAGGUAAAGGCUCACCAAGGCGAUGAUACAUAGCCGACCUGAGAGGGUGAUCGGCCACAUUGGGACUGAGACACGGCCCAAACUCCUACGGGAGGCAGCAGUAGGGAAUCUUCGGCAAUGGACGAAAGUCUGACCGAGCAACGCCGCGUGAGUGAAGAAGGUUUUCGGAUCGUAAAACUCUGUUGGUAGAGAAGAACGUUGGUGAGAGUGGAAAGCUCAUCAAGUGACGGUAACUACCCAGAAAGGGACGGCUAACUACGUGCCAGCAGCCGCGGUAAUACGUAGGUCCCGAGCGUUGUCCGGAUUUAUUGGGCGUAAAGCGAGCGCAGGUGGUUUAUUAAGUCUGGUGUAAAAGGCAGUGGCUCAACCAUUGUAUGCAUUGGAAACUGGUAGACUUGAGUGCAGGAGAGGAGAGUGGAAUUCCAUGGGUGAGCGG
rnacentral:rRNA from 1 species